rnacentral:tRNA from 1 species
UGUUACUUGGGUAGUGGUUAGGAUAUCCGGCUCUCACCCGGAAGGCCCGGGUUCGAUUCCCGGUAUGGGAA